UGGGGAAUAUUGGGCAAUGGAGGGAACUCUGACCCAGCGACGCCGCGUGCGGGAUGAAGGCCUUCGGGUUGUAAACCGCUUUCAGCAGGGAAGAAGCGAAAGUGACGGUACCUGCAGAAGAAGCACCGGCUAACUAUGUGCCAGCAGCCGCGGUAAUACAUAGGGUGCAAGCGUUGUCCGGAAUUAUUGGGCGUAAAGAGCUCGUAGGUGGUUCGUCACGUCGGAUGUGAAAAUCUGGGGCUCAACCCCAGACCUGCAUUCGAUACGGGCGAUCUAGAGUGUGGUAGGGGAGACUGGAAUUCCUGGUGUAGCGGUGGAAUGCGCAGAUAUCAGGAGGAACACCAAUGGCGAAGGCAGGUCUCUGGGCCAUUACUGACACUGAGGAGCGAAAGCGUGGGGAGCGAACAGGAUUAGAUACCCUGGUAGUCCACGCCGUAAACGGUGGGCACUAGUUGUGGGAACCUUCCACGGUUUCUGCGACGCAGCUAACGCAUUAAGUGCCCCGCCUGGGGAGUACGAUCGCAAGAUUA
rnacentral:rRNA from 1 species